CCUACGGGAGGCAGCAGUCGAGAAUCUUCGGCAAUGGGCGCAAGCCCGACCGAGCGACGCCGCGUGGAGGACGAAGGCCUUCGGGUUGUAAACUCCUGUCGGGGGGGAACAAGGGCCGGCGCAGACCCGGCCUCGAGUGAUCCCCGGAGGAAGCACGGGCUAAGUUCGUGCCAGCAGCCGCGGUAAGACGAACCGUGCGAACGUUAUUCGGAAUCACUGGGCUUAAAGGGCGCGUAGACGGGCGACCGCGUCGAUGGCUGAAAGCCCCCGGCUCAACCGGGGAACGGGCCUCGAUACGGGUCGCCUUGAGUGGAGGAGGGGGACCUGGAACUUCCGGUGGAGCGGUGAAAUGCGUUGAGAUCGGAAGGAACGCCCGUGGCGAAAGCGAGGUCCUGGACUCCGACUGACGUUGAGGCGCGAAAGCCAGGGGAGCGAACGGGAUUAGAUACCCCGGUAGUCCUGGCCGUAAACCAUGGGCACUGGGUAGGGGGCUCGCCGAUGGGCUCCCUGCCGCAACGAAAGCGUGAAGUGCCCCGCCUGGGGAGUAUGGUCGCAAGGCUGAAACUCAAAGGAAUUGACGGGGGCUCACACAAGCGGUGGAGCAUGUGGCUUAAUUCGAGGCUACGCGCAAAACCUUAUCCCGGGCUUGACAUGCACGGAUUAACCGGCGGAAACGUCGGCCACGCCGCAAGGUGGAACGUGCACAGGUGCUGCAUGGCUGUCGUCAGCUCGUGUCGCGAGAUGUUGGGUUCAGUCCCGUAACGAGCGAAACCCCUGUGACUAGUUGCUAGCACAUCAUGGUGGGCACUCUAGUCAGACCGCCGGCGUCAAGCCGGAGGAUGCGGGGACGACGUCAAGUCCUCAUGACCUUAUGCCCGGGGCCGCACACGUGCUACAAUGGGCCGGACAAAGCGUCGCAGAGCGCAAGGUCGAUCCAUCGCAAAACCGUCCUCAGUUCGGAUUGCGGCUGCAAU
rnacentral:rRNA from 1 species